CAAUAAAGGGAUAAAACCCCUUUAUUUACUUACCUGAUCACAGCGCAGAAGGACAUUUUAGUAACUAUUAAUUAAUAAAUAGAAGCAUCACUAAAACAUAAACAGAAUUAUCCAUAAAUAUGCACACAAAAAAAAGAAAAAGAAAAAUAAUAGCAGAGACAAGGGACAUGUGUUAUAGAAACAUAAGUUAAGAGGUCAGAGAAUGUUGUACCUCAUUUCAUUUC